rnacentral:rRNA from 1 species
GACGAACGCUGGCGGCGUGCUUAACACAUGCAAGUCGAACGGAAAGGCCCUGCUUUUGUGGGGUGCUCGAGUGGCGAACGGGUGAGUAACACGUGAGUAACCUGCCCUUGACUUUGGGAUAACUUCAGGAAACUGGGGCUAAUACCGGAUAGGAGCUCCUGCUGCAUGGUGGGGGUUGGACAGUUUCGGCGGUUGGGGAUGGACUCGCGGGUUAUCAGCUUGUUGGUGGGGUAGUGGCUUACCAAGGGUUUGACGGGUAGCCGGCCUGAGAGGUGGACCGGCCACAUUGGGACUGAGAUACGGCCCAGACUCCUACGGGAGGCAGCAGUGGGGAAUAUUGCACAAUGGGCGGAAGCCUGAUGCAGCAACGCCGCGUGCGUGAUGACGGCCUUCGGGUUGUAAACCGCUUUCGCCUGUGACGAAGCGUGAGUGACGGUAAUGGGUAAAGAAGCACCGGCUAACUACGUG